GUCGCGAGGUUCUGGAGCUCCUCUAUCACCUUCGAUUGUUUCAGGGUCGUGACACGGGGCCUGAGCUUCUUGAAGUUCACCCUGGAAGUCGGAUCGUUUCAAAUGAUUUAAAGGAAAGAAGAAGUGAUGGAUCUAUGACCCAGAACUCCUUUACCGUUCAAAUAUCGUUUUGAAUUGUGCAAGUGCGUACAACGUUAGGAAAGAAGUGAUCUAUACCCCAGAACUCCUUUAUCGUUCAAGAGCUCCUCUUCCUCGAGGAUCAAUUGAGCGAUCUCGUCGUCUGUGAGAUUCUGAUUAGGAACGACCUCGCUGUUUGC